rnacentral:rRNA from 1 species
AAUCAUAAUGGCCGAAAAUCUAAGGUUUCCUGGGGAAGGUUCGUCCGCCCAGGGUAAGCCGGGAGCUAAGGCGAGGCCGCAAGGCGUAGUCGAUGCACAUACGGUAGAAAUUCCGUAGCCGGUACAAUUGUUAAUCACGGUGACACAUGAGUAUAGCUCUACCGGGCGUUGGUAGCCCCGGGCGUAAGCGAGCCGAAUGAGGCGAAGUGAGUAAAGCUUGUGGCGAGAAAAGCCGUGUGGAUUGGUUGUACUGCCCGUACCGCAAACCGACACAGGUAGAUGAGGAGAAGAUCCUAAGGCCAACGGGAGAAGGGUUGUUAAGGAACUAGGCAAAUUGACCCCGUAACUUCGGAAUAAGGGGUGCCUACGAAAGUAGGUCGCAGAGAAUAGGCCCAAGCAACUGUUUACCAAAAACACAGGUCUCUGCUAAAUCGAAAGAUGACGUAUAGGGGCUGACGCCUGCCCGGUGCUGGAAGGUUAAGAGGAGAGCUUAGGGAAACCGAAGGUUCGAAUUGAAGCCCCAGUAAACGGCGGCCGUAACUAUAACGGUCCUAAGGUAGCGAAAUUCCUUGUCAGGUAAGUUCUGACCCGCACGAAAGGCGUAAUGAUUUGGGCACUGUCUCAACAGCCCGCCCGGCGAAAUUGUAGUACCGGUGAAGAUGCCGGUUACCCGCAACUAGACGGAAAGACCCCAUGGAGCUUUACUGCAGCUUAAUACUGAGAUUCGGUAAAUCAUGUACAGGAUAGGUGGGAGACUGUGAAGUCUGGGCGUCAGCUCAGAUGGAGUCGACCUUGGGAUACCACCCUUGAUUUGCUGGAUUUCUAACCUGCGGCCGUGAAUCCGGUCGGGGGACACUGUUAGGCGGGCAGUUUGACUGGGGCGGUCGCCUCCUAAAAUGUAACGGAGGCGCUCAAAGGUUGGCUCAGCAUGGAUGGAAACCAUGCAAUGAGUGUAAACGUAUAAGCCAGCCUGACUGCGAGACCGACGGGUCGAGCAGAGACGAAAGUCGGAGUUAGUGAUCCGGUGGUAUGUGAGUGGAAAUGCCAUCGCUCAACGGAUAAAAGCUACCCUGGGGAUAACAGGCUGAUCUCCCCCAAGCGUCCACAGCGACGGGGAGGUUUGGCACCUCGAUGUCGGCUCGUCGCAUCCUGGGGCUGAAUUAGGUCCCAAGGGUUUGGCUGUUCGCCAAUUAAAGCGGCACGCGAGCUGGGUUCAGAACGUCGUGAGACAGUUCGGUCCCUAUCUGUUGCGGGCGUAGGAGAUUUGAAGGGAGCUGUCCUUAGUACGAGAGGACCGGGAUGGACAUACCUCUGGUGUACCAGUUGUUCUGCCAAGGGCACGGCUGGGUAGCUACGUAUGGACGAGAUAAACGCUGAAGGCAUCUAAGCGUGAAACUCCCCCUAAGAUAAGAUCUCCACUGAGGCUCGACGUAGACUAUGUCGUAGAUAGGUCAGAGGUGGAAGCGCUGAGAGGCGUGGAGCUGACUGAUACUAAUAAGCCGAAAGCUUGACCA